rnacentral:rRNA from 1 species
AUGAAAUUUUGUACUCUUCAGAAAAAGGGUGGUAAUGUAAGACCUAAUUCAAUGACGAAAGACUUUUGUGACUGUCUCAUAGAGUGUGGUUUGGACGAUUUGGGUUUCAUUGGUGAUCCUUUUACUUGGAGAAGAACGGAAAUCAGGGGGAAAAUUGACCAGGCAGUUUGCAAUGUGGAGUGGGCAUAUCGAUUUCCUCCGUCUGCGCUUAAUGAGGACCACAUACAUUCUGACCACCGUUCGUUGGUUCUGGAUAUGGAUUAUUUUGAUGGCAAUAUGUUUAGUCGUCUGAAAGACCAUGUAAAACAAUUUAAAGCUAGAUGGCUCAAAGCAGAGAGCAUUGAGGAAAUUGUCAAGUCGGCUUGGGAAAAGGCCAAGGUGGUAGGUGUUGGUCCGUCUCUCGGUGCAUGUUGA